GUGCUCCCUUUAGCAGCACAUAUGCUAAAAUUGGAAUGAUACAGAGAUUAACAUGGCCCCUACACAAAGAUGACAUAUAAAUUCAUGAAAAAAUCCAUUAAAAA
rnacentral:snRNA from 1 species